rnacentral:rRNA from 1 species
AUUGAACGCUGGCGGCAGGCCUAACACAUGCCAGUCGAGCGGAUGAAGGGAGCUUGCUCCUGGAUUCAGCGGCGGACGGGUGAGUAAUGCCUAGGAAUCUGCCUGGUAGUGGGGGAUAACGUCCGGAAACGGGCGCUAAUACCGCAUACGUCCUGAGGGAGAAAGUGGGGGAUCUUCGGACCUCACGCUAUCAGAUGAGCCUAGGUCGGAUUAGCUAGUUGGUGGGGUAAAGGCCUACCAAGGCGACGAUCCGUAACUGGUCUGAGAGGAUGAUCAGUCACACUGGAACUGAGACACGGUCCAGACUCCUACGGGAGGCGGCAGUGGGGAAUAUUGGACAAUGGGCGAAAGCCUGAUCCAGCCAUGCCGCGUGUGUGAAGAAGGUCUUCGGAUUGUAAAGCACUUUAAGUUGGGAGGAAGGGCAGUAAGUUAAUACCUUGCUGUUUUGACGUUACCAACAGAAUAAGCACCGGCUAACUUCGUG